UUUACUACUCAAGGCGUAUUCUCCAUGAUGAUAGUCGAGGAGUUGGGGAACCACUUGAACAAGUUUGCGUGAUCAACAAUAAUAAUACAUGCGAAGGACUAACAGUCAGAGGAAAUUAUUAUAUCAGCAUCCACAAGCUUGGAGUUGGUUCACGCUGGCGUCGUACAACUGGUCAGGAAAUUUAUUUUCCAUUCUUAGUGGCUUUUACACAUGAGCAUCUAUGCUUAACUGGACUUUGAUAUCUUUGCUUGAUUUGAUGGCAUUUCUUUUCAUUCAGUACACUGCUUGCAGAAAGGGUGAGAAGCUUGCUCUUAUCCCUGUUUAACUCGCGUUGUUGCAUAAUGGGCU